UAGCCGUAAACGAUACUCGCUGGGUGUCGGCCACGGUGCGACCGUUGUCGGUGCCGUAGGGAAGCCGUGAAGCGAGCCACCUGGGAAGUACGGCCGCAAGGCUGAAACUUAAAGGAAUUGGCGGGGGAGCACCACAACGGGUGGAGCUUGCGGUUUAAUUGGAUUCAACGCCGGAAAUCUUACCGGGACCGACAGCAACAUGAAGGCCAGGCUGAAGACUUUGCCGGAUUAGCUGAGAGGAGGUGCAUGGCGUAGACGUCU
rnacentral:rRNA from 1 species